AAACCAAAUUAAAACAGUUCAAAUUAUACAAGUCAUCUAUCUAUUGUUCCUGUAACACAAAUUACAAUGCAACCAAACAUUUUCACAAUCUAUCUAAUUACGAACGAUAGAAAAUAAUCUGUGCACAUAAAAUUUGAUGAACAUUUUUAUUUCAAUUCCAGUCCGAAGUUACACUGAUGUGAGUUCAAGCUAUGUACCUGAAGUGAAUCAAGUAGAAAGGGGAAGAGGUGAGCAACAGCAAAGAAAUCUGCGAUUUGGAUUUUCAAACAUUAGCAAAAACAAUCAAUCACAGCUCAAAAAUAACUUGAUUACUCCAGAAAUGGUUUAAACCAAAGAGACUAUUUAUCAAUCCCAAAUUAGCAUAGACAUGCCCAGAAAUGCACACAGGAAAGCAAUACAAUCAACCCAUCAAACCAAAACAACGUCAAGUAAUCUAAAAUGAACCGAGUCCUUCAUUCAUGAUCAAUAAACACUAAUAACUUAUUCGAACUUCUCUUAAUUCUCCAUAUUGUGCAAAAACCAGAGAAAACUCGAAUAAUUCAAUCCUAUGUGAAUAAGAGACUUGAAAUCUGAAACUAAUUGAAUAAAACUACUGUAACAGUCAUGUUUUUUGGAUUUUUUUAUUUUGUGUUUGUUUUUCGAUUUUUUUAAUGCUGAAUUUCAAAACUAGAUCUGAAACUAAUCAGAGCUUUUUGGGGGGAAUUUUUGAGCUACCCAAACUUGUGUGUUAAAGCAUUGGCAUGCCCUUUUAUAGACAAAAAUGAGGGCAGCCCUAAGAUUUUCAGUUUUCAAAUUUAGUCCGUUUUUAAUUUUCAUUU
rnacentral:lncRNA from 1 species